AAAAAAUAAAAAAUAAAAAAAUAGGCACAUGAGAGAGGAAGAUGAACUGAAAAUGAUCACUUUUUUGACAUAAAUUAUCAGCAGAAGCCAGCAAGUUCUCAAUUUGAAGGAGACUAGACAUUAUUUAUGUUGUUAAGAUAAGAAUUUACUCAAACUUGCUACUCUCAAACCUGUUACAGAAACAAAAUAAAAACUUUGACCCAGAAGCCAAAAAAAAAAAAAAA
rnacentral:misc_RNA from 1 species